rnacentral:rRNA from 1 species
CAGUCGCCGCGGUAAUACGGAGGGUGCAAGCGUUAAUCGGAAUUACUGGGCGUAAAGCGUGCGCAGGCGGUUAUAUAAGUCAGAUGUGAAAUCCCCGGGCUCAACCUGGGAACUGCAUUUGAGACUGUAUGGCUAGAGUGUGUCAGAGGGGGGUAGAAUUCCACGUGUAGCAGUGAAAUGCGUAGAUAUGUGGAGGAAUACCGAUGGCGAAGGCAGCCCCCUGGGAUAACACUGACGCUCAUGCACGAAAGCGUGGGGAGCAAACAGGAUUAGAUACCCCCGUAGUCCCUGUCUCUUAUAC